rnacentral:lncRNA from 1 species
CCCAAUUAAGAGAGAGAGAAAAUUUUGUCCAGUGGUAACUGGAGGAUUUUACCAACAUUAAUUCAUAUAUCCUGUAAUGACAAAAAAUGAAGAAAAGCGUCUAUGUGAUACCAAUAACUAUAGGUCAAUCAAUAAAACAAACCUUUAUAGCUCGCCUAAAUGUUUCAAGCACCUCAACCAUAAUUUCUAACAUAUUACCUGAAAAGGAACUUGGUGUUAUCAAUAUGAAAGAAAUUGCACAUUAAAAAAGCAAGAAUGGAGAUAUGCAAAAUUCAAAAAGAGUAACCACUGUAUACCCUGCAUGUUCAAGACCUUCGAAAUUUCCUUCAUGCUCAAACCUUGGUCACCAGACUUUUGAAUGGCUGAAUAAAGAGUUUUAAAUACCUCGGGAUGAAGAGAAAAUCUUUUUUCUUGACAAGAACGCAAAGAUAUCAGAUAUUCUGAAUAGCUUGUCAUCGCUUCCCAUGGUGAUUUACUCACAUCAUAUGCAGGAAGGAUUGUUGUCCCAGAAUCUAGGAUUUCUCUAGCAUGAUCGGCUACAUCAGAAUGUGAUGUGUUACGGUCAACCUCCAAACUGAGAGUAUCAGUUGGAGUGCUUUUGCCAAGUGUGACAAAAUUAAAGUCCUCAUCUUUAUACCUUUCAAUAACAUGUAUUCUUGAGAUUGUUGCACAAUGCAACUGCAACUUAAUACCAGGGAAACCUUUUUCUCGGCGAGAGAUAAUCUCUCCCUCACCAGUCAAUGUUCUUGAUUUCUUAGGUGUGUCGUCGCCAAAAAUAUCACUACUAUCGUGUUUACGUUUAGAAGUUCUGGUAUCUUCAGCCUCUCCUACUCCUUCCUCGGGUAAGCAAGGGGUAAUUGAUAGUUCUCCUGAAAAAACUAAAGCGCACAAAUGAAAAAUUUCACCACACUGCAAAUCCUCAGGAAGAUCAAACCCUUUUUCCAUUAGAUCAGUUUCUCUUUCCUGGAGCCAGCAAGCAAAGUUAGCAGCUCUCUUUCCAGUGUUCAUGGGAAAUGGAGACAAAGAAAUACUUUGCAGAAAGUGCUGUGAAAGAACAAAUGGGCUAUUAUAGCUACCACCAAUCUGCCAAAGGAAGAAAAAAUUUGUUAGUUUAUUAUGCCAAAUACCAAUAAAAGGAAAAAAAGAACUAGUGAGAUUAAAAUAUUUGUCUUUCAAUGGCAUUUAAACAAACAUCUCAUAAUAUAAGGAUUUGUAUUUCUGCUGUAUUUAUGGAUUAAUAAUUAUAUUUUAAUGGUGAUUAUUUAACAUUAGAUCAAAUACUUGUGCCCUACAUUGUGAUAAUAUUGUUUGAGAUUUCAGUGCCGUUCCAAGAUAUAGCUUUAAAUUUGCCCAUGGAGACAAGUUCCUAUGUAAAUAGGAGGGGCGGUACUUUUUUGAUGGAAACAAAAAAUCUUCAUCAUAUGUGGCCUGUCCAAGUAUUUUACUGUUAAGAAUAGUCAUGAUUUUUUUUCAAUUACUGUUUAUUCAGCAGUGUGCUAGAUAUAUUCAUUUUAUCCAUAUUGCAGUGAUCAAAUGAUGAUGUAUAUUGCAGGAAAUAUAAUUUACCAUAAUUUUCUUUUCUCUUAGGUAGUUAAAAGCGGCAAAAAGAUCAUGCUCAGAAUAACGUCUUAAUGUUUCAGCUAGCAGAGUAGGAACUUCAGGAGCUGACGAUGUGCUUAGAAAGAUUAGCUUAAAUAGCUCAGCAGCAUUUGCAACAGCAACAGAUUCAUGUGCUCUUCUGCUAACACUUGCACCUUCAUUUAAAAGUUUCACAUACUUUUUAGGAAGCAGUCGAGAGCUCGAUCUUUGAGGACAAGCUCUACUCUUCUCUUCACAAUUCUCAAAUUCCUGACUAUGAGGGGCUGAAGAAGUGAUUCCAGUGCCACGGGGAUACUGUACACAAGAGAGUAAAAGAAGUAAAUGACAAAGCACUCCAUAGAUUAUAAAUGUCAUCAGCAACAGAGAUGGACAGCAGAAUAGCUUUGGCAGAAAACAGACACUUGUUAUUCACCUUAAUAACACAUUUAACUGGAAAACACAAUUCACAUUUCAAAUUUCUAUCCCUCUUUCUGUGUUUAUAUUUUCCUUGGUUGUUGGGGGGAAAGUGGUAGUACAAGUCUGAACUCGUGACACUUAACACAGAUUAUGAUCAAAUAGACAUACGUAACAAAUUACGGAAAUAUUAUAUUCCUAUGAAACAUAGAUAAAGAUAAUAGGGGAAUGUCAACUUACUUUUCCUUCCCCGUCUUCUUUAUCUGAACACAUAUGCUUGGAGGCCUCCAAUUUAGCCAAUCGUUUGUUUAGUAGAACAUCAUCUAAUGCUCGCUUGAUAAUAUUGUCAUCAAAAUUAUCCCAACAUGUUCCAAAUUUAGAUGAUGAGGAGCACACAUUUUCUUCUUCAACUGCGUAAUCCUGGUCCCUCAUUUCAGUAUCAGCAUGAUUCAACAUUUUUCCCUGGACUUGCUCAAGGUAUCUUGCAUACCGUUCUGCAAGAAUAUUGCAUAGCUUCAUUACAGCUUUUCUGAAAGGGAUAUAACUGUUCAAUAUUGCCAUUCUUCGUCUGCAGGAAUCAGGAGAAGCUGGAAGAGCUGAAAUUGAUGCCCAAUCUACACGGUGAAACUUUGCCCCAAGAGCAGCUCGGUAUCUUGCUCCUGUAAUGACAAAAAAUGAAGAAAAGCGUCUAUGUGAUACCAAUAACUAUAGGUCAAUCAAUAAAACAAACCUUUAUAGCUCGCCUAAAUGUUUCAAGCACCUCAACCAUAAUUUCUAACAUAUUACCUGAAAAGGAACUUG